rnacentral:lncRNA from 1 species
CAACUUCAAUAUCAUAAAACUCACAUCAUCUCCACUCAACAACAACUUCACCAUAACAACAACUCACUUUCAUUUUCUACCAACCUUUGAAUCACUUUAACCAUCUCAUAAACCAACCAAAACCUUCAAUCACCAUAAAUCACACAAGGAAAAGAUAAAAAAACCAAGCCGUAUUCAUCACCCAAGCAAAAAAAACAGAAAAAAAAUAUUAUAACCAUUCUUCACACCAAAUCGUUCAUAAAAACAGUCCCAAAAUUCACAUAAAGAACAUAAACCAUUAUUAUCAUUGCACUACCUUCAUG